rnacentral:rRNA from 1 species
UCGACGAUGACCUCACUUGUGGGGGGAUUAGUGGCGAACGGGUGAGUAACACGUGAGUAACCUGCCCUUAACUCUGGGAUAAGCCUGGGAAACUGGGUCUAAUACCGGAUAUGACUCCUCAUCGCAUGGUGGGGGGUGGAAAGCUUUUUGUGGUUUUGGAUGGACUCGCGGCCUAUCAGCUUGUUGGUGAGGUAAUGGCUUACCAAGGCGACGACGGGUAGCCGGCCUGAGAGGGUGACCGGCCACACUGGGACUGAGACACGGCCCAGACUCCUACGGGAGGCAGCAGUGGGGAAUAUUGCACAAUGGGCGCAAGCCUGAUGCAGCGACGCCGCGUGAGGGAUGACGGCCUUCGGGUUGUAAACCUCUUUCAGUAGGGAAGAAGCGAAAGUGACGGUACCUGCAGAAGAAGCGCCGGCUAACUACGUGCCAGCAGCCGCGGUAAUACGUAGGGCGCAAGCGUUAUCCGGAAUUAUUGGGCGUGAAGAGCUCGUAGGCGG